rnacentral:rRNA from 1 species
CAGCAGCCACGUAAUACGAAGGGGGCUAGCGUUGUUCGGAAUUACUGGGCGUAAAGCGCACGUAGGCGGACAUUUAAGUCAGGGGUGAAAUCCCGGGGCUCAACCCCGGAACUGCCUUUGAUACUGGGUGUCUAGAGUAUGGAAGAGGUGAGUGGAAUUCCGAGUGUAGAGGUGAAAUUCGUAGAUAUUCGGAGGAACACCAGUGGCGAAGGCGGCUCACUGGUCCAUUACUGACGCUGAGGUGCGAAAGCGUGGGGAGCAAACAGGAUUAGAUACCCCCGUAGUCCCUGUCUCUUAUACC